UUGUCAGUAAGGUUAAUCGUUACCUAAUCCUCCUUCUGGAGGGAAGAUACGGUCAUGAUGAUUGGCGUACACAUGAUUCAUGAUCAACGACUAUGCACACAAAAAAAGUUUAUGAUCUGAA
ensembl:snoRNA U8 U8 small nucleolar RNA